GGAGACAGACCUGGUUAAUGGGAAGGUGACGACGGACCAACGCACCUGUAACAGAUACUUUCCACAACAAUGCACAGCUUAAGUGGGGCCAGUCACCUGGUGGUCAGAUGUUCCCCCAGUCACCAAGGAUGAGAUGGUUUUGCCCGGGAACCCAGCUUGAUUUCCUGGUUCAAAAAUCACACCUGUGAAACUCGAUCCAGGUGGGAAAUUCUUCUGGUUGACUCUGCUAAAGCCAUGGUUCAUUAUCAAGUUAUUUCUCUGGGUCACUCUGAGGUCAUCUCUUAAUUAAUAACAGCCCGGGGAGGGGGCAAACUCUAGCUUCUCAGCCUCUGCCGGGAAGCCCAUUGUAGCACCUCUCGUCUGCUGAGCACUUCCUAGGUGCCGGGUGCCAGCCAAAUAGCCUUCUGCACAGCCACUUACUUAAGCCUCUGAUGACCCCCCAGCGGAGCAGCUACAAGGAUCCCCACAUCAAGAUGAAGAAUCUCAGGCUUGCUAAGUCCAGUUAUUUGACCAAGAUCACAGCUAAUGGGGCCAGCACUGCAGAGCUGGACGGCCUAUUGUUCCUAAGCAAGCUAUACCUGGCGCUGGGCUCUCUAGAUGAUCCCUCCAAUCCUCUUCAUGUGCCAUCACUGCUUGCCCUCAUCCCUGCUCAGGAUUCUUUCUGGCCUUUCAGAAAACAACUGGCAACAAUUUAGCAACUAGUUUAAAUCUCUUCAGUUGGAAGUACAGGUUUCUUCUGUGAGGAACACAAAAGCCCACGCAGGAAAAGAGAAGAAUAUCCCAAAUUCAUGGCUGGGAAAAGGGAAGUCACUCUGCUGUUUGUCCUCAAAUGUGCACCCCAUUCAAAUUCUCCACCUGUUCCAGAUGUCUGCUGGAAAUCCACCCCUUGUCCCUGAUCCUGCGGUUUGCUAUGGUGUGUCUGUCUUAUCUGUCACCCUAGACCUCAGACCUCUUUCGUACCUACUAAGUGUGUAAUAAAUAUUAUCGGCUGAUAGAAAACCUAGCGCCAAAUUAAAGUCGAGAGGAUUUUUAUAAAAAACGAGUCAUUUAGAAAGUAUCACUAGAGCCAGGACCUUUAUACCAUGUUUCAUCCUCACUGCGAUCCUGUAGGGGUGGGUUUCUUUCCAUUUUACAGAUGAGAAAACUGAGGCUCAGAAGGAUUCUGGGAGUACAAACUGCUUCUCAGUGGUGGUGGGUAGAAUUCCAGGACGGUCUCACUUGCAAGGCUGUGCUUAUCACCUCUUUGGACUUCCCAGGGUUUCAGUGGAUGACUGGGGGAGCUGUCAGUAACCAAGACCUAAGGGAUCAGGACACUGUGUAAAACACAUCCGGGCUCAGAGCAGAGAAAGGUUCACUAGCGUGCUGAAGUCAUUCAUGCUUUUCCUGGCAGAGCGGCACCGACCGCCCAGGAAGCCCUCAUUCCCCAAAUCCCGCCCUUGCCCCCUACCAUGGCCAGCUCUCCACUCCCAUCCAUCCUAGGUGGGUAUCAGGCCAAAAAUGUCCUUUGUCUGCUCCCCUAACUAGCCCUGAGCUGGGAGUGUGGCACAGUACGGUGGUUCUGAGGAUGUGUGUGACUGCUGACACUCGCCCGAGUCGUGCUCAUAGCUGAUAUCCUUGAAUCAAUCCCAAUACUCUUUGCUAGAGAAGAUAGACCAGACCUCAGAAUCCUUCCAGUACAGCAUUCCAGGCAGACACCAGCAAUCCAUCAGCAUUGUCCUGAGAUUAAGCCUGUCGUUAUUGGCAUAGCAAAUGAUCAGUGGAAUUUAAUUUCCAUUCCCUUCUCUCUUUCCUGCCUGCCUUCCCCAGUGUUUCUGGGAUGGGUAGAGGGGUGGAUGGGUAGAUGGAUGGGUGGAUGAAUGG